AGCAGCCGCGGUAAUUCCAGCUCCAAUAGCGUAUAUUAAAGUUGUUGCAGUUAAAAAGCUCGUAGUUGAACUUCGGGGUUUACCCAUUGGUCAGGCUUAAUUGUCUGCACUGGUGAGAUGAAUCUCUACCUUCUGAGGAACUUUCAUGCCAUUUAUUUGGUGUGAUGGGAAAUCAGGACUGUUACUUUGAAAAAAUUAGAGUGUUUAAAGCAGGCUAACGUCUGAAUACAUUAGCAUGGAAUAAUGAAAUAGGACGGACUGAUUCUAUUUCGUUGGUUUCUAGGAUCACCGUAAUGAUUAAUAGGGAUAGUUGGGGGCAUUAGUAUUCAAUUGUCAGAGGUGAAAUUCUUGGAUUUAUUGAAGACUAACUACUGCGAAAGCAUUUGCCAAGGAUGUUUUCAUUAAUCAAGAACGAAAGUUAGGGGAUCGAAGACGAUCAGAUACCGUCGUAGUCUUAACCAUAAACUAUGCCGACUAGGGAUCGGACGAAGUUAAAAAAAUGACGCGCUCGGCACCUCAUG
rnacentral:rRNA from 1 species